CCUACGGGAGGCAGCAGUGGGGAAUAUUGGACAAUGGGCGAAAGCCUGAUCCAGCAAUGCCGCGUGAGUGAUGAAGGCCUUAGGGUUGUAAAGCUCUUUUACCCGGGAUGAUAAUGACAGUACCGGGAGAAUAAGCUCCGGCUAACUCCGUGCCAGCAGCCGCGGUAAUACGGAGGGAGCUAGCGUUGUUCGGAAUUACUGGGCGUAAAGCGUACGUAGGCGGUUAUUCAAGUCAGAGGUGAAAGCCUGGGGCUCAACUCCAGAACUGCCUUUGAAACUAGAUAGCUAGAAUCAUGGAGAGGUCAGUGGAAUUCCGAGUGUAGAGGUGAAAUUCGUAGAUAUUCGGAAGAACACCAGUGGCGAAGGCGACUGACUGGACAUGUAUUGACGCUGAGGUACGAAAGCGUGGGGAGCAAACAGGAUUAGAUACCCUGGUAGUCCACGCCGUAAACGAUGAUAACUAGCUGUUCGGACCUUUAAGGUUUGAGUGGCGCAGCUAACGCAUUAAGUUAUCCGCCUGGGGAGUACGGUCGCAAGAUUAAAAACUCAAAAGGAAUUGACGG
rnacentral:rRNA from 1 species